AACCAAUGAUGGCGACCGGCGCACGGGUGAGUAACGCGUAUCCAACCUACCCUUGUCCAUCGGAUAACCCGUCGAAAGGCGGCCUAACACGAUAUGCGGUUCACAGCAGGCAUCUAACGUGAACGAAAUGUGAAGGAGAAGGAUGGGGAUGCGUCUGAUUAGCUUGUUGGCGGGGUAACGGCCCACCAAGGCUACGAUCAGUAGGGGUUCUGAGAGGAAGGUCCCCCACAUUGGAACUGAGACACGGUCCAAACUCCUACGGGAGGCAGCAGUGAGGAAUAUUGGUCAAUGGACGAGAGUCUGAACCAGCCAAGUAGCGUGCAGGAUGACGGCCCUAUGGGUUGUAAACUGCUUUUAUAGGGGGAUAAAGUGUGCCACGUGUGGCAUAUUGCAGGUACCCUAUGAAUAAGGACCGGCUAAUUCCGUGCCAGCAGCCGCGGUAAUACGGAAGGUCCAGGCGUUAUCCGGAUUUAUUGGGUUUAAAGGGAGCGUAGGCCGUUUGGUAAGCGUGUUGUGAAAUGUCGGGGCUCAACCUGGGCAUUGCAGCGCGAACUGUCAGACUUGAGUGUGCAGGAAGUAGGCGGAAUUCGUCGUGUAGCGGUGAAAUGCUUAGAUAUGACGAAGAACUCCGAUUGCGAAGGCAGCCUGCUGUAGCGCAACUGACGCUGAAGCUCGAAAGCGUGGGUAUCGAACAG
rnacentral:rRNA from 1 species